AUGCUGGGCGAAGGCUUCCUCAGAGCGCUGCCCUACACGGAGGAGAGAAGGUUCGCCUCCAGGCGGAACAAAGCGCAGGCACGCAGAUGCAGCACGGACGCGCUGAACUGUGCUGAGACAGAACUACGGACAGAAGCAGGUCCAAACGAGGAAGCAAUAGACUCCUCCCAGCCUCAGGCACUCAAAGAGAUGCCUCAGGCACUUUCAAUUCCUGGGUGUUCCCCUCUCCAGCACCCUGACUUAACACUGUGCAUAGACAACUGCAGCCUCCUGGAACAGUACCCAGACCUGCAGGUGGCCGACACGGGCCGCAUCUCCCACAACCCACUGAGAGCACCCACAGCCCAGCAGGGUUCACACAGUCCCUGUGCAGGGCAGCAUCCAGAAUGGACAGUCCACCACAGGCCACAGGACGACCCUGUGUCAUCCGUACCAGACCAGGGCUACCUGGUCAUGGGGCCCAGCGAGGACGUCAGCCUGGACCUGCCUGGAUUAGAGCCCAUGUCUAACUCUGUGCUGAACGGAAUGCUGGACAAGCAGCUGGAGGAGUUCUGGAUGCAGCACCUAACUGACAACCUGGCUCGAUGCAACUCCCACCUGGGGAACAGCAUCCUGCACGGCCUGGUGCAACCGCCGCAGCCCUGCAGCCACCGGCAGGGCCCGGACUCGCUGGAGCCCAGUCUGGGGGAGGGAUCGGAGGACAGCGAUCGGAAGAUUAGCUACCUGCACACCCACAACUUAGGCCCCUGCUCGUCCAACUUUAGCUCCCCCGUGCUGAGGAUUUCAGAGUCUGAGAAUCCUCACGUGCAGUGACACACACACACACACACACACACACACACACACACACACACACACACACACACACACACACACAAACUGCAAUUUUGCUUCAACCCGUAAGGCACAUCUUUGAAACAAAACAUUCAUUUUUAUCAGCAUCUAUCUACAUACUGUAGGGUCUUUGUUUACCUGCUCUCAUGUGCCACCUGCUGUUCUAAUUCUGUUACUACACAACACUCAAUGUCAUUUGUCACAUUAAUUUUUUUUCAUUAUAAUGCAUGCAUCUGUGUUUACAUUAAAUAUUAAAAUUGACAGCUAUAUGACAAAAUAGUUGAUUUUGUGUCAUUUAUUGUUUAAAUGACCUACAACAUAAUAACAGGAGCUGCUAUAAUGAAUGUGGAAAUGACACAUUUUCGACAGUUUGACAAGAAGAAAACAUGUUCAAAUUCCAGAGGAUAUUUUCAGUUUUCAGUUUUUUUUCAGUUUGCUCAUCAAAACAUAGAGAAAUAAAAAGUAAAGCACUAUGUACA
rnacentral:lncRNA from 1 species